GUCAGCUCACUUCCCUCUCUGAGCCUCAGCUUCCUCAUUUGCAAAAUGAGACUGGAGACACGCCCUACUAAGCCUGUGAGCCUGCAGCCACUCUGUCCCCCACUUUCCUGCGCACCCUCCCACCCCGUCGGCUCCAAUCCUCCCGGCAGUCGGCAGAGUGGACUGAGGGGCCCUUGGUUCAAGGCCUGGGUCCACCAACCUCCAAGCAACAUGGCCCUGUCCUCUUCUGAAAACCCUCUGCAGCCACCAAGGAAAGGAGAAGGGCGCACAAGGGCCCAGGUGGCCUCCGUGCCAUCCCAGCUUCCUCCUCCGGCCACAAGGACACGAGGCCUGAGGAAUGGACGGACAAGCAGAGGGGCACAGCCUUGCCUCCUGUGUCUUGGCUGAACCGCGGUUGCUUCUGCUCCUUUGGCAAAGCCACUCAGGACCACGUCCUUCUUGCUCACAAACCCUGUGGCACCCCAGGGCCGCCCGGCCUGGACCUGAGGCUCCGGCUCACCGCUGCAGGCCUGUCUUCCACCGCUCCUCUCCCCACGCCCCACCUAGCUGCACACUCUCUCCAUCUCCUCGGGCGGCCCCCUCCCUGCUCCCGUCCCACUCGCCUCUGCCUGCCCAGAUGUCAUCUGCAGAGUGGUGUGUGUGUGCCCGGUGGCUCAGUCAUGUCCAGCUCUCUGUGACCCCAUGGACUGUAGCCCGCCAGGCUCCUCUGUCCAUGGGAUUCUCCAGGCAAGAAUACUGGAGUGGGCAGCUGUUUCCUUCUCCAGGGGCUCUUCCCGACCCAGGGAUCGAACCUGCAUCUCUUAUGUCACCUGCAUAGGUAGGCAGGUGCUUUACCCCGAGCGCCACCUGGGAAACUUCGCGUGGUGACGGUCACUAUCUUCUACUGGAAGCCUCCUCUGAGGCCUCCUACCCCAGCCCGGGCACAAGGUGGAUUCUCCCUUGCCCAGGCC
ensembl:lncRNA